AAUCAACGCUGGCGGCGUGCCUAACACAUGCAAGUCGAACGCGAAAGCCCCGCAAGGGGCAAGGUAGAGUGGCAAACGGGUGAGUAACACGUGGGUGACCUGCCUUCGAGUGGGGGAUAACGUCCCGGAAAGGGACGCUAAUAACCGCAUAAUAUCCUGCCUUUUAAGAGGUGGACAUCAAAGCUGGGGAUCGCAAGACCUGGCGCUUGAAGAGGGGCCCGCGCCCGAUUAGCUAGUUGGUGGGGAAUGGCUCACCAAGGCUACGAUCGGUAGCCGGCCUGAGAGGGCGGACGGCCACACUGGGACUGAGACACGGGCCCGACUCCUACGGGAGGCAGCAGUGA
rnacentral:rRNA from 1 species